CUUUCUUUGCUGGCGACCGGCGCACGGGUGAGUAACACGUAUCCAACCUGCCCUUUACUCGGGGAUAGCCUUUCGAAAGAAAGAUUAAUACCCGAUAGCAUAAUGAUUCCGCAUGGUUUCAUUAUUAAAGGAUUCCGGUAAAGGAUGGGGAUGCGUUCCAUUAGGUUGUUGGUGGGGUAGCGGCCCACCAAGCCUUCGAUGGAUAGGGGUUCUGAGAGGAAGGUCCCCCACAUUGGAACUGAGACACGGUCCAA
rnacentral:rRNA from 1 species